CUGAGCGCGCCCACUGCAGAGCCCGAGGACAGACUCAGCCUCCAGACUAGCUGGAGCUACAGCGCCGGAGCCGGCCCGAGGACCAGAUCAACUGCAGAGUCGAGCUGAGGAAACCUGAUCGGCUCCACAUCAGCUGCAGACACCGCCUGGAGGCCGGUUCAGAAGGUGGAGGACUGGGGGUAAAAAAAAUAAAUAAAUAGUCUUACCGAUCAAAAAAUGGUCUUAACUUCAGAACAAAACCAGAUUUUGCAGAGAGGCGGGAAACAAGACGUGCUGAGCUUGAAGUAGCGGCUUCGUGUGACGGCGUUCAGCAUCACAGCAGGAAACGAAGGACGCGUUCGAAGGAGCCGUCGACAAGCGACAGUGUAGUCGCGCCGCUGUGACGCAGUCCGUCUUCAGAAAAGGCUCCUAUAUGUCAUUCUGACGGGCAACGGACCAACAAACAGGUCAUUAGAAGACGUAGUGAAACGAGGACGAGCUGAAUUCAAACCGGAGGCACACACUUUCUGUAAAUCUGCGUUUCUGCAGACGUUGCCGGAGGGAAUUACCCGAAGUUCCAGAAACAGAAGCAGAUUUAUUGUGGGACGUCAAGAAACAUAAAAACAGAGGAAGAGAAAAGAAGAACAGUGAACAAACCUGAACGUCUGCAUGUGAAUAUAAACACAGAGCUCAGUGGUCGAACUGCGUGUCGUUAUAUGACCUGAUGAUAAAAAUCUGCUUUACAUUAUUACUAAUGGAGGGAAUAAAACAUGUAAAAAUCAAACACGCUGCAUGAGAAGACUCCAGAGUUCAUGUUCCUGCACAGCCAGAGUCACCUGCACAUUCACCUGCCCUCGACCUGAGAACAGGCCUAAUCAGCCAAAACAGGAAACACCUGUGUGGAGCUGCAGUCUGCUCCUUGGUAGAUGAAAGUAUUCAUCCAUGUGUAUCUGUCACUGCAGGUAUUUACAGUAGUUAUUCACCUGGCUCGGAGAUCAACAGAGAAAUGAGUGGAAACGUGCAGCCGGACCGGACUGCAGCAGCUGAAACAGACUCGCUGACGCAGACUUCCUGUGGUGAAAAACAGGCAGGAGAGGAAAAACAAACGAGCUCGCAAACAGUCGGUGUUUCCUGAAUGAAGGGUCAGCUGUAACCCUGGCUGAACGCUGGACAGCCUCAGGAUUUCACAGGUCAAAGGUCAGUCAGAACGGAGUUAAUCCACGACCAGAAGUGAAUAUGUCUCGCCCUGCUCCUCGGCGACAUGAAUGGAGAGAUAAAAUCCGCUCUGACAGCAGCUUUGAGUGAAGGCAUGUUGGUUUAUACAGAUCACACGGUGUUUAGUGAUUCCACUUCUUCACUGCAUGAGAAUGUGUGUCUGCUUCUCUCUGCCUGAUGUACAUUAGAUCAUCUUCACUUUGAGUCAUCGUGUAGAAUAAUCCUGUUCUACCCUAUUCAGACAUUUACAGACAAAAUACACAACUCAGUGUUUGUUUUUUCCCCCAGUGGUGCUCGACAGUUUUGACUUGUGGCUUGUGCUACAAAAUAGAGAUUAAAAGCAAAUAUGAAGUUUAUUGAUUUCAGGUAAACUCCCGGUCUGUCCCAGCUGAUUAUCAGGUUUUAAAAACAUGCAGAAAGACCUCGUGGUUCUACUCACUGCUAACUUUCUGUAUAAUCACACACUGAAGUUCAACAGAGGAAGCACAGAGAUGAAGUUCAUCCAAGAAGAAAAGCUAAAAUGUCAAAUGAAUAACUAAAUAAAUAAAGUCUUGCCACCACUGCUCACGUCUGCUGGUCCUGCAGCAGCAGGGCGCCUGGUCAGAAGCUGCCGCACUGUUUAAAAACAUCAGUAAUGAAAAGUGACGCAAAUAACCGGCUGACCUCUGCAGCUCCGCCCCCCGGUUCAGCCCGCAGCCCUCCUCCGCUGCUGCAGGACGCGCUGAUUGGUCAGAAGUGGCAGAAUGUUAAUGACGUGUAAAAACCAGAGCGGGAAGAGUUUAACAGCAGCUCCGUUCUCCUGUUAAUGACGUGAUUCGUUAUCAGAGUCUUCUCUCUCUCUCGCGUUGGGACAUGAGCCACGAGCACAGACGUGAUCUCGGAUCAUCCAUCGAACUGCAUGAGGAAAUAUUCUCCGUCGUACUAUCAGCGUGGACUUGUAUGUAAAGUGAUAAACGUUUUGUUGUUGUUGUUUUUGUUGUUCUCGUUAUUCUGAGGCUGCGUUGUUAAUUUGUUUGCUGGUUUCUAAAUAUUGCACAACAGAUUUAAUGAGCUCUGGGCCUCACAGCGUUUUUCUCUCAGGGUUUGUAACUUUUAGAAAAGUUAAUAACAAAUAAACUUUUAUACUCUAUUUACUACGUCCACUGGCAUGUAAUAUACUUCUAUUUGUUCAAUUAGUAUUAUUAUUGUUAUUAUUAACUUACCUUUGCUAUGGAGGUUCUAUGAAAUUUACAGUAAAUUAGGCCACAGGUAAAGGAACAAAUGAUUCUUUUCUGGUUUUCAUGCACAAUCUUUUCUAAGGAUUUCUUUUAAAGCGCCAUAUUUUCUUCUUCUUCUGUGUUUUAUUUUGAAGUGUUGAUCCAUAAGAAGAUAUAUUUAUGGUUUUAAGAACCAAAAACCAUCUAAGUGUAGUUUUACAUCUCCUCUCUCAGGCUUCUCUCUGGAGCUCUAGGAACAACAGGUCUGUGAGCCAAUCAGAAGAGAGGAGGCUCCGAGACUCUCCUCUGAUUGGCUGACUGUUUUCUGAGUGAUCCAAUAAAGAUAUUGCAGAUUUCAGGUAAAAUACAAAUCCUGCAACGUUAGGUAAAAACACUAAGAGAAACCAAAUCCUGUAAAGGUUUGGAUGGUGGGUCCAGGUGGGCGGGGCUUGGUGACUGCUUUGUUGUGACAUCACAAAGUUCCAGAAGUCCUGACGGCUGGUUUUAAGGCUCAGUUUCUGAAUACAGGCUGUGUGCAUUUCUCUGUGGACUGAGGCUUUGAUACUUUCACAGUAUUAAUAUAGAAGCUAGAGCUGAUCUAUAAUCACACUACACAUGGACACACACCUUUACACUGGAGGAGCUUUAAGAAGCUUUUAAAAACUCACCUGGUUUGUGCACUUUAUCCUGUAAUGUGUAAUUUUAUUGUUUUUAUAUUCUCAUCUCCUGUUUUCUAACUGUUUAAAUGUUUCCUCUGUACAGCACCUUGUAACCCUGGUUUGAAAAGGUGCUUUAUAAAUAAAUUUUACUUGAUAUCUUGACAUAGAAAUACUUUAAACAUUUUCACAGUUUUCCCAUGAGCUUCAUAAGAUCUCAGGCGUUAUUGAUCAUCUGUCACAAUUUGUAUUUUGGUGUAAAUUUGUGUCCACGUGCAGAAAUAAAAUUCUAAUAUUUUGUUGUUUUAAUAAUGUCAAAUAUUUUGAAAUUGUUGGCUGUUGUUAUGGUAACGUAAAGUAGGUUGGUGGUGCAGAGUGAAAUAUCUCAACAGUUAGUGGAUGGACUGUCAUGAAAUGAUAUUUUAUUCAUGUGUCUCAGGAUGAAUUGUAAUUCAGUGCCGUCAUCAGGUAAAAACGUAUACCUGCCCAGAGUUUAGUGCUAAUUAGCAGAUGUUAGCAUGCAAUAUGUGCAGUGCAAUAACUAAAAUAGUACACAUGGUAAAAUCAGCAAUGCUGAUGUCUGUAUAUUCUUACAGGGAAACACACCGGCGGCGAGCAUCAAAUGCAAACACCUGCACCUGGUGUUUAAUAUGUCAACGCACACACUAGAAAUAUCAGGUCAUCUCAUGAUGAUGCAUCAACAGCUCGUCCUAUUUACUAUUCUGAUGCAUGGAAACUCCUUAGAAAAGCAUUUUUUCUCCACAGCUACUGUAAACUCUGGACACUGGUGCAUGUUGCACACGCACAGUGACGGACCGGGGGAGGGUCCAAUCUCCCUAAAAUACAUUUAAAAUAUAUAAAAAUGUCACCCAGAUACUGAAGGCUUAAUGUGGCCCAGGUCUAAUGCAAUUAAAAUGAAUCCUGCUGACGUCUGUCUCUGCCUUUUUCCUAAAGCUAUCUUCUUGCAGAUGCAGGCAGAUUUGAACGAACACCACAUUUGCACGGUGAUGUUUCAGAUUCCUCUGCGAGACCUCUCGCCGCUGCCGCAGCUCAUCGCCAUAAAAACAGAUGGCUCUCCUGCAGACCAGCAUCCCCGCCGCUUUAGCAGACGAUCGUAAAAUG